rnacentral:lncRNA from 1 species
CAAAAACACACACAAGCACAAGUGUAAGUGUUACACACAAAGAGUUAUAAUUAAGAAGAAAAUGGCCAAAUUGUUCAUGGCUUUGCUCUUGGCUCUUGUGGCCACUCAUGCCCUAGCUAGACCUACACCAAAGGAUGACACUUUCAGUGACCAAAAGAACUUCCUGACCUAUGGAGGCGUCGGUGGUUACUCUGGCAUCGGCAACAAUGGCCUCCCGUUUGGUGGUCUAGGGGGUGCCAUUGGGGGAGGAGGCCUUGGUGGCGGUCUUGGUGGUGGUCUUGGUGGUGGCCUCGGUGGCGGUACGGGAAUUGGUGGAGGACUAGGUGGACUGGGAGGUCCUGGAGGUGGAUUCGGUGGCAUUGGUGGAACCACUGGCGGUCUUGGCGGUGGUCUCGGGGGUGGACUCGGUGGUGGUCUCGGUGGCGGUGUCGGUGGAGCUUCUGGUGUUACUUAUCCUUGAAUAGUUAUUUAGUUAUGCUUGUUGAUUUUUACUCAAAAAGUUCUUGCAGUUUAAAGUUUGUUUGAUUAAUAUUGUGUCAAGAGAUGUAGUUGUUUAGUUGUUGCUUAAUGACCUUAUAGCAUUUGGUUGUGUUUGGUUUUCUAUUUAAAUUUGGUUGUGAUUAUCUUUUGUUUGUUCACUUUUGUCAGUAUAAAACAAACAUCUGCUUUAGCUGUUCCUUUUUUUUUUUCGGUUUAUAUAUUUAUUUUAUAUUUAAUGAAAAAUGAAUGGGUUGUAUGCA